rnacentral:rRNA from 1 species
GACGAACGCUGGCGGCGUGCUUAACACAUGCAAGUCGAACGGAAAGGCCUUUUCGGAGGUACUCGAGUGGCGAACGGGUGAGUAACACGUGGGUGAUCUGCCCUGCACUCUGGGAUAAGCCUGGGAAACUGGGUCUAAUACCGGAUAGGACCGCACUUUAGUGUGUGUGGUGGAAAGUUUUUUCGGUGUAGGAUGAGCCCGCGGCCUAUCAGCUUGUUGGUGGGGUAAUGGCCUACCAAGGCGGCGACGGGUAGCCGGACUGAGAGGUCGGUCGGCCACAUUGGGACUGAGAUACGGCCCAGACUCCUACGGGAGGCAGCAGUGGGGAAUAUUGCACAAUGGGCGCAAGCCUGAUGCAGCGACGCCGCGUGGGGGAUGACGGCCUUCGGGUUGUAAACUCCUUUCGCCAGGGACGAAGCGUUUUGUGACGGUACCUGGAGAAGAAGCACCGGCUAACUACGUG